UUUUUAGGUGGAUAAUGUGACAUUUCAGAACGCCACCAACAUCCCCUUAAAGGAGGGGGAGAACAUAUUUUUGCCAGAGGUAAAAAAGGGAGAAGGAUGUGGGCCUCCACACAAAAAGAUACUACAAUAUGUGAAGCUCACCUACAGCCACAUGACCCCGGUAAUGUACAUAAAUAUAUAUUAUUUAUAUAGUCUAAUAUGUCAGUUCGUUCUUUAAUGUAUUUCUUCUCUGUUUUUUCACUUAUUGUAUUUCACAGACCAACUUCGCCAUAGAGUUCGGAGUUUUUAAACCUAGGGGUGCACAAUGAAGACGAUGAUGAUGAUGCUCAUGAUUUGGUAUAAAAGGAGAAUCCACAUUCAACAGAGAAGUUUUAUUCCACUUUCAUAACGUAUAAAAAGAGAUUAUGAUUUAUUCUAGGUGGAAACCUCUGUAAUAUCUGUCCUGUAACUGAGCACUUCACAAAAUUGGGUUUCUGUGGAAAAAAAUAAAAGCCUUA